UACGUAGGGUCCAAGCGUUAUCCGGAAUCACUGGGCGUAAAGCGUGCGUAGGCGGCUUUGUAAGUUAGAGGUGAAAGCCUGGAGCUCAACUCCAGAAUUGCCUUUAAGACUGCAUCGCUUGAAUCCAGGAGAGGUGAGUGGAAUUCCGAGUGUAGAGGUGAAAUUCGUAGAUAUUCGGAAGAACACCAGUGGCGAAGGCGGCUCACUGGACUGGUAUUGACGCUGAGGUGCGAAAGCGUGGGGAGCAAACAGG
rnacentral:rRNA from 1 species